AUUGAACGCUGGCGGCAGGCUUAACACAUGCAAGUCGAGCGAGCGGCGGACGGGUGAGUAAUGUCUGGGAAACUGCCUGAUGGAGGGGGAUAACUACUGGAAACGGUAGCUAAUACCGCAUACCAUCAGAUGUGCCCAGAUGGGAUUAGCUUGUUGGUGGGGUAAUGGCUCACCUAGGCGACGAUCCCUAGCUGGUCUGAGAGGAUGACCGGCCACACUGGAACUGAGACACGGUCCAGACUCCUACGGGAGGCAGCAGUGGGGAAUAUUGCACAAUGGGCGCAAGCCUGAUGCAGCCAUGCCGCGUGUGUGAAGAAGGCCUUCGGGUUGUAAAGCACUUUCAGCGAGGAGGAGGUAAGAGAAGAAGAAGCACCGGCUAACUCCGUGCCAGCAGCCGCGGUAAUAG
rnacentral:rRNA from 1 species